rnacentral:sRNA from 1 species
UCCGAAUAAUAAGAAUAAUGAAAAUAACAGGUUAUUCCUCUUUUGACUGGCCAAUAGAAAUAUUGGCCUUUUUUU